rnacentral:rRNA from 1 species
GAUGUAGAGCGCAAUAGUAGAAGUGGGCUUGACUGUGAGACCAACAAGUCGAGCAGGGUCGAAAGACGGAUAUAGUGAUCCGGUGGUUCCACAUGGAAGGGCCAUCGCUCAAAGGAUAAAAGGUACGCCGGGGAUAACAGGCUGAUCUCCCCCAAGAGCUCAUAUCGACGGGGAGGUUUGGCACCUCGAUGUCGGCUCGUCACGUCCUGGGGCUGGAGAAGGUCCCAAGGGUUCGGCUGUUCGCCGAUUAAAGUGGCACGCGAGCUGGGUUCAGAACGUCGUGAGACAGUUCGGUCCCUAUCUGUGAUGGGCGUUGGAUAUUUGAGAGGACCUGUCCUUAGUACGAGAGGACCGGGAUGGACCAGCCGCUGGUGCGCCGGUUGUACCGCCAGGUGCAGCGCCGGGUAGCUACGCUGGGACGAGAUAAGCGCUGAAAGCAUCUAAGUGCGAAACUCCCCUCAAGAUGAGAUAUCCGAAUGAAAGGUUCGUGGGAGACGACCACGUAUAUAGGCGGCAGGUGUAAAGUUAGAAAUAGCACAGCUGAGCSGUACUAAGGAMCCGARSRCUUACGCUU